GUCCCUGUAACGCAAAUGAUAGCGCGCGCGUGUUGGACUUCUAAUCCAAAGGUCGUGGGUUCGAAUCCCACCUGGGUUG
rnacentral:tRNA from 1 species